GAGGCUUAUAGUGAGAAUCCAGAGUUAGCUGAAUUCUUGGUACAAGCUUGUAUUUCAGGAGAUCGCUCAGAAACAGAAGUCAUCAUCAGGCCAUCACCAAGGACUGGCCCACUUUAUCUCCAGCUUUGGCAAAAGAAGAUAGGAAGUCAGUGGUUGUACUGAAAUGAACUCAAGAAGAAACCACUUACACAUUUAUAGCCAUGUGAAAAAAACAACCCACACCAAAUUA